CCCCUCCCAGGGUUGCAUCUGGAGAGUUCCCAGUACUCUACCAGUCUCCACUACGUGAGGGAGAGUCAAGCAGAGGCAUACCCAUUCCAUUCUUAGCUUGGCCAGCGGCUAGCGAGUGUCAGGCAAUCUGCUACAAGU